rnacentral:rRNA from 1 species
AGCGGCGGACGGGUGAGUAACACGUGGAUAACCUGCCUUACGGACCGGGAUAACACCGGGAAACUGGUGCUAAUACCGGAUACGCUCUCCGGGGGGCCUCUCCUGGGGAGGAAAGCCGGCCUCUGGUUCAAGCUGGCGCCGUGAGAUGGGUCCGCGGCCCAUUAGCUUGUUGGCGGGGUAACGGCCCACCAAGGCGACGAUGGGUAGCCGGCCUGAGAGGGUGGUCGGCCACACUGGGACUGAGACACGGCCCAGACUCCUACGGGAGGCAGCAGUGGGGAAUCUUCCGCAAUGGGCGCAAGCCUGACGGAGCGACGCCGCGUGGGGGACGAAGGCCUUCGGGUUGUAAACCCCUUUUCUGAGGGAAGAACGCCUGUGUUGCGAAUAGUGGCGCAGGGUGACGGUACCUCAGGAAUAAGCCCCGGCUAACUACGUGCCAGCAGCCGCGGUAAGAC